AUGAAGGAAAUAUCUGACAUGGAAAUCAACAAAAGACCGAUGAAAGCUUAUAUUCCACUAUCAGAGACCUUGAUAAGCAAGAGAUGCUUCCAAUCCCAAGGUAUUGGUGAAAAUGUUUUGGUCUCUCUAUGGGUAGAAGACAUUUUCUCCAUUUUCUCCUUUAACCUUCCAGUGCAUUUAAGUUUAAAGGCACAAGGGACCUGCCUGAGUACUUGGAGGGGAAACAGAAAGAAGCUAGCACAAGAAGACUGCAACCAUCUAGCAGUCUUUUCUUUCUCAUUAAGCCCUUUAAGGAAACAACAUUCUGGCUACUAAGAACAAGGCCAGGCUUUGGAAUUGGAUUAUGCUAGCAAAUUGCAAACUUUGAGUUUUCUAAAAGGCUGCAAGAGAACUAAAGAAUUGCCAUUGGAAAUUUUUUAACCCUCUGAUUGAUGUCAGAAUAACAAGCCUACAGAAUUAUCCUGAUUUCUUGCCUCUGAUAAACCAGCUCCCUAUUCUGUGCACAUUCCACAAUUACAUCCUGAAUGGACCUCUUCUCCCAUUUAGUUUCCUUAUCUUUUCUCUCUGUGUUGACCUGGCCUGUGUAAUAAAAGAACUUAAUGUUUAUUUUGUUGUUGUUGC
rnacentral:lncRNA from 1 species